rnacentral:rRNA from 1 species
GCUCAGAUUGAACGCUGGCGGCAGGCUUAACACAUGCAAGUCGAGCGGUAACAGAGAGUAGCUUGCUACUUUGCUGACGAGCGGCGGACGGGUGAGUAAUGCUUGGGAAUAUGCCUUAUGGUGGGGGACAACAGUUGGAAACGACUGCUAAUACCGCAUAACGUCUACGGACCAAAGGGGGGGAUCUUCGGACCUCUCGCCAUUUGAUUAGCCCAAGUGAGAUUAGCUAGUUGGUGAGGUAAAGGCUCACCAAGGCGACGAUCUCUAGCUGGUUUGAGAGGAUGAUCAGCCACACUGGGACUGAGACACGGCCCAGACUCCUACGGGAGGCAGCAGUGGGGAAUAUUGCACAAUGGGCGAAAGCCUGAUGCAGCCAUGCCGCGUGUGUGAAGAAGGCCUUCGGGUUGUAAAGCACUUUCAGUUGUGAGGAAAGGUGGUAGUUUAAUAUGCUAUCACUGUGACGUUAACAACAGAAGAAGC